UAGAACAUGGUGUAAUAGGUAACACAGAGAGUUUUAAAUUCUCAGGUAUGGGUUCAAUUCCUAUAGUUCUAG
rnacentral:tRNA from 1 species